GUAGACUCUAGCAUCUGGACAUUUGGUCACCUGGAUUCUGAAUCUUACUUCAUCUUUAGAGCUAUGUGACCUCACCUACCUUCUUCGAGCCUCAAGAUCAAUAAGUGAGAACAGAUAGAGAUGUAGCCACUGGAGUCAGACAAUUGAAGAUAUAAUAAUUACUGAUAAAGGCUGUUGGUCCAGGAGAUAUUCAAAGGACAAAACCAAGAAAGACAACUCAUAAACUCUUCCUAAGUGGUGUGUAGUCUGUAUUCAAAUAUCUCAAAGAUUCAAGAUGAUAUUGGCUCUCUGCCCAUGAAGAGACAAUAUUUACUGAUGUGGAAUUGGAAAGUCUAAAAAAGCUGCCUCUGUUUCUGUGUAU
ensembl:lncRNA